GCACAUUCACCCUGCCCUGUGGAGGUGGUUGAUGAUGUCACUGACUGUUGUUUUUAAGUUUUUCUUCACAGCU